rnacentral:lncRNA from 1 species
CCAGUCAAGUUAAUGCUCCAAAUGCUUAUCAAACAACGCCGCAGGUGAACCAAAUGACAUUUCUGAAUGGGAACGUUGUUUAUGGACCUCACCUUCCACAUUCUGAAAACGUCGUCCAUGGACCUCACCUUCCACAGUCUGAAAAUGUUGUCUAUGGACCUCAUCUUCCACAUUCUGAAAAUGUUGUUUAUGGACCUCAUCUUCCACAUGGAUACAAAGCCGAAGGAAGCAGCUUCUUUUGGAACCCAAGUGACGGGAC